GUAGGUGAACCUGCGGAAGGAUAUUA
rnacentral:rRNA from 6 species